UCAAAAACAUCUCUUCUAGUUGGUAUUAGAAGUAGUCCCUGCCCGGUGUCCAAGAUUGGAUAAACGGCGGUGUUAAACCUUAAAGUAGCGUAAUUAGUUGCCCUUUAAUUGGGGGCUAGUAUGAAUGGGUUGACGAUGGGGGGGCUGUCUCCGGGAGAGUUAUUGAAAUUUUCCUCCUAGUGAAAAGCCUGGGAUGAUGUUGAAAGACGAGAAGACCCCAUCGAGCUUGAAUAAGGUGUUUUCUUUUUGCAGGCUCCCUGCAAAAUUUUGUUGGGGCAACAGGGGAGAAAUAAAACCUCUCCAUUUAUAAGAUAAAGAUCCAUAUUUUAUGAUAAAGAGAAAAAGUUACCGUGGGGAUAACAGCGUAAAACUGCCCGGGAGGCCUUAUCUAAGGCAGUGAGUGCGACCUCGAUGUUGGCUUAGGGUUGACUUUUUGGUGCAGCAGCUAAAUUAGUGGGACUGUUCGUCCUUUAAUACCCUUA
rnacentral:rRNA from 1 species